rnacentral:rRNA from 1 species
GGCCAGACUCCUACGGGAGGCAGCAGUGGGGAAUAUUGCACAAUGGGGGAAACCCUGAUGCAGCGACGCCGCGUGAGCGAAGAAGUAUUUCGGUAUGUAAAGCUCUCUCAGCAGGGAAGAAAAUGACGGUACCUGAGUAAGAAGCUCCGGCUAAAUACGUGCCAGCAGCCGCGGUAAUACGUAUGGAGCAAGCGUUAUCCGGAUUUACUGGGUGUAAAGGGAGCGCAGGCGGUCUGGCAAGUCUGGUGUGAAAUACCGGGGCUCAACUCCGGGACUGCAUUGGAAACUGUCAGACUGGAGUGUCGGAGAGGCAGGCGGAAUUCCUGGUGUAGCGGUGAAAUGCGUAGAUAUCAGGAGGAACACCAGUGGCGAAGGCGGCCUGCUGAACGAUGACUGACGCUGAGGCUCGAAAGCGUGGGGAGUAAACAGGAUUAGAUACCCCGGUAAC